CCGAGUUAGGGUCUACACGGCCCCUCUCUCCAACCCUUUGUCUACCAAACCUCUGUUGCUUCGGCGGACCCGUCUCGCACGAGACCGCCGGAGGGUUUAGGCCCUCUGGCCCGCGUCCGUCGAUGGCCCUUAUUAAAACUCUUAACAAACAUGUCAUGUCUGAACAAAAAUUUAAUUAAAGAAA
rnacentral:misc_RNA from 1 species